CAGGGCCCUCGGGCGCGUGCUGGCGCUGGUGGCACCUCCGGGAGGGGCGCCCUCGGUCUCUGGCGCGGGAAAGGCGUCCCACCGAGGCAAGUGGCUUGAAGCUGACCUGCAGUAGCUCCAAGAUGUGCCUGCACUUCAGCCACAGCCAAGUGUCUCCUCACACCUGCUGCUUCUUGCCUACCCGCCCAGCCAGCUUUCCAUACUGCGUAGAAUGCACUCUGCAAACCCACUCUGCCUUGCAAGCUCCUACUCAUCCCUCAAGGCCCUGACCAAAUGUCACCUCUAUAGAAGCCUUCCCCACACCGCAGCAGGCAGAAUUGGUGCCCAGCCCGCUGCCUCAGUCUCUGUCUCUGUCUAUUGUGGUUUAUGGUGCAUCGCUCUGUGGGAACCUGGGUCUCCCCAAAUCAGUGGCUAAGGAUAAAGCUUGCCUGCCGGUCACCUGUGCCCAAGGCAGUAGUUAAGAUCAAAGUAGGGACUCAAUAAAUGUGAUACAUGUCA